rnacentral:rRNA from 1 species
UGCCGAAUAAUGGCGACGCGAAAGAGAAAUCGAGUAGGGCCCUGGGGAGAGUACACGCGCAAGCGAGAAAUUUAAAGGAAAUUGACGGAAGAACACCACAAGGAGUGGAGUGUGCGGCUUAAUUUGACUCAACGCGGGACAACUUACCGGGUCCGACGACCGUAAGAGUGUGACACACGAUAGGUCGAAGAGUGGUGCAUGGCCGUUAACGACGAGUGGAGUGAUCUUUGGGKUAAGUCCGUAAAUUAGUGAGACCUCAGCCGUAAGGGACAGGUGCGCAAAGCACAGGAAGGAUGGGUCAAGGACAGGUCAGUGAUGCCCUUAGAUGGUCCGGGCUGCACGCGCACUACAGUGGUCGCCGAAAUUACCUGAUAAUUUUAAAGGCGAUCGAGAGGGAAUGAGCUUUGUAAGAGGCUCAGGAACGAGGAAUUGCUAGUAAUCGCGGACUCAUUAAGACGCGAUGAAUACGUCCCUGUUCUUUGUACACACCGCCCGUCGUUAUCGAAGAUGAAGACAGGCG